AUGAACGCUGGCGGCGUGCUUAACACAUGCAAGUCGAACGGAAAGGCCAGUGCUUGCACUGGUGCUCGAGUGGCGAACGGGUGAGUAACACGUGGGUGAUCUGCCCUGCACUUUGGGAUAAGCCUGGGAAACUGGGUCUAAUACCAGAUAGGACCAUGCUUUGGAUGGUGUGGUGGAAAGUUUUUUCGGUGUGGGAUGAGCUUGCGGCCUAUCAGCUUGUUGGUGGGGUAAUGGCCUACCAAGGCGUCGACGGGUAGCCGGCCUGAGAGGGUGUGCGGCCACAUUGGGACUGAGAUACGGCCCAGACUCCUACGGGAGGCAGCAGUGGGGAAUAUUGCACAAUGGGCGCAAGCCUGAUGCAGCGACGCCGCGUGGGGGAUGACGGCCUUCGGGUUGUAAACUCCUUUCGCAACUGACGAAGCUUUUUGUGACGGUAGGUUGAGAAGAAGCACCGGCUAACUACGUG
rnacentral:rRNA from 1 species